rnacentral:rRNA from 1 species
UGCAGUCGACGGUAACAGGUUAAGCUGACGAGUGGCGAACGGGUGAGUAAUAUAUCGGAACGUGCCCAGUCGUGGGGGAUAACUGCUCGAAAGAGCAGCUAAUACCGCAUACGACCUGAGGGUGAAAGCGGGGGAUCGCAAGACCUCGCGCGAUUGGAGCGGCCGAUAUCAGAUUAGGUAGUUGGUGGGGUAAAGGCCCACCAAGCCAACGAUCUGUAGCUGGUCUGAGAGGACGACCAGCCACACUGGGACUGAGACACGGCCCAGACUCCUACGGGAGGCAGCAGUGGGGAAUUUUGGACAAUGGGCGCAAGCCUGAUCCAGCCAUGCCGCGUGCGGGAAGAAGGCCUUCGGGUUGUAAACCGCUUUUGUCAGGGAAGAAAAGGUUCUGGUUAAUACCUGGGACUCAUGACGGUACCUGAAGAAUAAGCACCGGCUAACUACGUGCCAGCAGCCGCGGUAAUACGUAGGGUGCAAGCGUUAAUCGGAAUUACUGGGCGUAAAGCGUGCGCAGGCGGUUAUGCAAGACAGAUGUGAAAUCCCCGGGCUCAACCUGGGAACUGCAUUUGUGACUGCAUAGCUAGAGUACGGUAGAGGGGGGAUGGAAUUCCGCGUGUAGCAGUGAAAUGCGUAGAUAUGCGGAGGAACACCGAUGG